AGGGCAAAGGCAGCACGAGAGGCAGCAGUGAGCACCAGAGCCGCCCAGCCUGGCGGGGUCUGAGAGCUCUCCCACAAAAAUGGAAGGGAACAACAACGGAACGAGGUUGAUGGGAUGCAGACAAAGCCAGAGGCAUGGCAUGGGGUGGAUCUCUGGCAAUCCCAGGAAGAGCAAGGGAACACAAGGGGCUCAGAGGGAGCACUGGGAAGUCAGCACAAGCAGGACACCGUCUCUAACACCCUUAACACACAAAUGCAGUAUGAAAAGGCACUAAUUGCUGUUGGUGGGCACCUCUGCUACAGAACAGGUAACAAAGGGGAAAGAAGGAGUCUAUAGACCAUACUUUAUCUUUCUACAUUUCACAGAACUGCACAUCACACCUUUGCUCAGUUUCGGGGUGAAAUUAAAUCAGUUCCCUCCUCCAGGAACUGAGUUGCUAAAUUAAACCCACUCUGCCAGGGGCAUCAAGGGGAUAGCAAAGAAAUGGCUGACGUGAACUAAACCAAGUUAUAAUUUAUCUUCUCACAGGUUACGCAACUCUGUGGGUAGCCUUCAGUGAACAGGAGCCUAAAUCACACCCGUAGGGUUAUUAAAAAUGCAUUUAUUCACUCCAGAAAAAAAAACUACACUGGCAAGAGAGAAAAAUUUUCCUGGUGGAAAAGUACUGCUCCAUUCUGGUUUGUAUUUUGGAGCUAAUAACACAUUUAUUUUCCUGGAGAUAGAAAUGAGGAUUUUCUUAAGGCCCGGGGGAUAACAAUACAUUGUUUGAGACAUACCGUUCCCAGAAUGGCAACAGCAACAGCAGGAUCUUGGAGGCAACAAAACAGAAAUAGCUCCAAAGAGAAACAGCGUAUCCUCCCCCACAGCCCACAAAACUGGGGCCAAGACAGACUCAAGGCCAGUCAAUGGGGCACGGCAGAACCAGAAACAGGGCUCUGUCCUCGCCACCAUGCAUUUAAUUAAUUCAUUCAUUUAGAGACAUAGGUUCACACUGACCUAUUUCUCCUACCAGCUACAUGCCUCUCACCAAGCAGACACCUCUGCUGAUGAGGAGCAGCUGCAACCAGCAAUAGUGGACACAUCACUCGCUCACAUUUACUUACUGUUCCAAAUACAGCCUUUCAGGUCGAGCUCUCCAGCACCACUGCACUGUGGCUUCCAGAGCUGGAAGAGCCAAGCGACUCCUCUGAAACCAAUUUCUGAGUCAACAGCUGUGAUAAGGCACGUGCUGGACUCCAGCAGCACAUGUAAACAUUUGCUUUAUUUAGGACAGCAUAAGAAAGGAAUCUGCCUUCUCUGCUGCAUCACAGAGUCUGUGGGAGCAGCAUCUCUCUGAACCCUACACCGUGCGGUGGCAGCUCCUGCCUUCCACGCUGACAGGAACCUCCUGCCAGGAGCUCCCUGUCUGGAGGGGAAGGGCACAGAGAAUCCCACAGACCCCUCAGCAGGAACUGCCCUGCCCUGCUCCACGGUUUGUUUUACAAGGUCCCAGGCGAGGGGCACAGCUCGGAAGGUGGCACUGAGGAUGGGGACAGCUCGGAAGGUGGCACUGAGGAUGGGGACAGCUCGGAAGGUGGCACUGAGGAUGGGGACAGAUGCUGCCCAGGAAACACCCGGCAGUGCCCUGUGGGGCCAAUUGUCCACCCCACACAGGACACACAGGACACACAGCCCCACGGCCCAGCCCUAGGUGACAAGCAGACACGUUCUGCAAGGAGCUUUCCCUGCCUUGGCACAACAAGUCCCAGCAAUGCAGCUACAGCUUGGGCGAGAGGAAAAACACCAACAUCUGCUACCCCAGAUGAGCCAACUUGGCAAAACCUCUAAGCCUCAAACAUCGGCUUCACACACAGAAGUCUACAUUUGCAGUAUGUAAAUGUUUCUAAAAACAUUUUCUGGCUUCAAAAUAGAGAAAUUUCCUCCCACAACAGAUUUGUAACCAAGUUAUCCCAGUACAACGAACAAGUGGGAGCACACAAGGUUACAGUGCAUCUAGGAACUUGCAGAGCAAUGCAGCACCACCUGUAUCUCUGCCAGUGCAGGUCAGAGCCUUGAGGGGUGCUGCUGCAGUCCUGGGACACCUCAAAAUGUUGGUGGCAAAUCAGGCUGGUAACUUCAAGCUGCUGUGGUGGUUUAACAGCAGUUAGGGGAGAGCUGUGGAGCACACACCCUUACUGCCCAAGCUGCUUCUCAGCAUCCUGUCUCUUCUCACUUGAGCUGCUGGCAAAAUGCUAAGGGCCCUUGUUACCUGCCCAAACCCUGGGCAAGCUGUCAGCUGUCCCCAGGAGAACAAAACAUUUCACACAUGGAAAAUGGGGGCACAAAGAAAUCAAGGCUUAUGAACUCCCACAAAUGUUGAAGUGUUGCCUCCCAUGGAACACAGAUGCAUUUGGGUAGCACCGUUUGCCAUCUGUUUGUUGGGGAAAAAACCCAACAAAACAACAAAGCAAAGAACAGGAAGGAAGAGGCUAAGCCAGGAAAAUUCAGACCUCCACACAGCACCUUAACCAGACCUUAAGCCAGCCCUUUCUUUCUGUUCUCUCCCAGCCUUCCCUGCUGCCUCUCCAGGAGGGGGCUGAAAAAUGCUCAGCCUGUAUAUUAGCCCAAAAGCCUCAGAAUAAAUUCAAAAAUUCCUACUAGUUUGGCAUGCCUGAGGUAGGAAAGUCAAGUCAUAUCAAGAAGAAAAUGUUUUCUUGCUUUAUUUGGCAAAAGGGAAUGAGUCCUCUAAUACAAAGUGUAUUUCCUGUUGGGGAGCUAUGGGCUUUUGACACAUACACUUCAUGUGCUUUACUCCUGCCAGAUUUCCAAGAGAAAUAAAGUGGAAUAAAUACCUGCCAGGAGAGGCACCAAGACAGAAACAUGAAAUAUGUCUCCCACGACCUUCUUUCUUACUAAUUACUGCAAGUCUGAUGCUUUUAACAAGGACAGCAAACAUACACCAUCAAAGCAACAAGAUCCAGUGGUACUCAGCUCACUUUAGACUCCUCUUGUGCUCCUCUGUUCCAGAGUGGGAGGAAUAAGCCUGGGCUUAUUUGGCCACACUGGGUUAGGUCCUGAGAACCUGCCUGGGCUGGUCAGGGUGCUGGGCUAACAGUGCUGCAUUCUGCAGACACUGUAAACAGCCUGUGCACACACCAUGGCAUGUGCUGCCCGCAGCUGCUGCUUGUCUCCAGGCUGGCUGUUUGCAGCCAGCAUGACACACUGCAGUUUCCACCCCAGUGCCAUUACCAGUGUGUAUUUUGGUGCAAAUUACACACAAACACCCCUCACUGUGGCAGCCACCCAGGGAAGAGGGAACAGGAGGGAGAGCCAAGGCAGAUGGAGGGUACAGAGGCGGAGGCCAGCACUGCACAGCACUCCCCAGCUCUCUGCAGAGAGCCCUGAUGUUCCCAACAAUGGGGUAACACUGCUGAAACAUGCCACAAAGCCCUGCACUGAAGUUGCUGUUUAGUCCCAGUGGGGAGGAAAACAGCAGUCUAUGCCUCCCUAAAGCCUUUCAGUCAUUGAAAUAGCCAACAAUGAUACCUGUCAAUGUGGUCUUGGUGUCACCUUCAGAUGAAAGCCUGGACUAUGGCUGAGGUUCACUGCACAACCUGCAAUGAGCCCUGGGAAGCUGCAGUCAGCUCUCACCUCAUGAGCUCAAACCAUUCCCUAAAUCUUCCCCUGCCAGGCAGAGCCUCUGGGGCUGGGAAUGCUGACCCCCCAAAGCAGCACAAUUCACAGAGACCAAGAGGCUCCCGGGGAACCCCAGCACUGUGCUGAGCCUCAGCAGCAGCAUGAACAAGAACCCAAUGGCACAGUUCCCUGAAAGCACAAACAUCAGCAGUAAAGUGAGCCAAGCAGUGCAAAAAAGGGGCUGAUUUUAGCAGAAUUUUUGAAAAGAUGGUCUGUGAUGAGAAGCUCCUUUUCCAAAUAAAAGAAAUCCAGCUGGAAGAUGAACAUCCCAACUUCCCUUGAAAAGGCUCUCAUGCACACAUUCAGCACUUCUUCCAAAGCCUCAAAGCAAAGGCAGAGAAAGGAGAUCAGCUCUCCCUUACCUGUUCUUUUUACCUUUGGGGAAAAGGAUAAAAGCCCUUUAAAAGCUGCACUUCAGCUCCAGCCCACCCUGCAGACGGGAGGCCUCAAAGGGAGCCAAAGGGACCCCGUGUGGCCUCUCAACUACCAGCAGAGAGUCCACCCCAACCACGCAGCUUCCACCAGGACAAAGCUCAGCUCAAAGGGGACUGACACUCCCUCCUGUCACUGUUGCUGACUGUAACUCACCUCUUUCCCCUGCCAGGUUUGCAGUGUUCCCCACAGCUGAGCCGGCCCUGAGGGUCUCUGCUGCCAAACUCCAAUCCUGACCCAACCCUUUCCUGCCAAGGACAACUAGGAAAACUUUCCAGUCUUGCCCCUCACGUUUAACAUGUUCCACACCUUUGCUCCCAUAAUCCCAUCACUUUUUCCUCUACCCAAUCCUCCACCCAGUUUCCUUCUACGCCCAUCUUCACACCUCGUUCUCCAGCCCUGUACUGCCAUGGCCUCUCUAGCUUUGCCCAGCUAUGCCUCAGCUCUCCAAAUGCUCGAACUCGUCCUUAAAAUGUCUCUUCCUUACAGUUUUUCAGCAGUCACCCAACCCUUUCUCUGUUGAAACAAAGACAACUGACUCACUAUGAGACCAGGCAUUGAUCCCUACAGCAUAAGGGCUGAACUGAUCAGAAACUUCAGUGAUCUCCAUGAAAAAAAGGGAUGACUGCAUGGUGCAAGUGCUUUUAAACAAAGCAAUCAACGCUGAUGAGAGCAGAAAAUGAAUUCUGGUUUGUAACAGAUACUCUAGAUGUUCCAUAGAUGUAGCCCCUUGACAACUCCAGGGACACAUUCCAUGCCACAUCCACUACACCCAGGCAGUCUCUGGCAAUGGGCAAGCCUCGUGUGAGGGCCAUUAGUCACAUCACCUAUGGGCCCACCAGCUCCUGGCUAAAUGCUUCUUUCACUUUUCUUCCUUUUCACAGGUGCAGUGCCCUCCUCCACCUAAGCCACUGCUCCCUUCUGCCAGGGCAGGACAGUGGGAAGAGAAGAGCUCCUGUUUGCUCCCACCAACAGGGAACACAGCAGACACUGUAGGUGCUGUCCAGCAGAGGAUGAAGGGGUAGACACUACCCCACCUCUAUGGAGGUGAGACCCCACUCAUAAACCCAAUUCUCAGCUUUCUCAUUCAUUCCAGACCAUGCCCUAGAAGGGAGGCUCUAUCCACACUGGCUUACUCCAAAGAGUAGUUGCUCUCUACCAACAGCCUCCUUGCUCUGGAGGGAACACAGAUGCCCUGAAAACUCAGGGUGCAGCCACCUGCCCCCUGCCUCUUGUGCAACUCAAGUGCCCUUCACUCCUGCUCAAGAUAACGUGGCAAGCACAGCCCGAUGCUGCUGGUGGCACUGAGUCAUCCCAGAGCUGUGCUGGCUUCCUCCUGGCAUGGAAAAAAUCCCUAACCAAGAGCCACACGCAGGCUGCAAACCCAACCCAGUCUGAACAAUGCCUAGGCAGCAGUUCCCACACAGUCCUGGCUCCACACAGAUCAGCAAAGGAAACAGGGCAACACAGACCAGGGGGCUGUGAGUAUCCCCAUGUUUGUGAUUGAGUACCAUCACCACAUCCUUCACAGGAAAAACUGGAGCUGAACAAGCAUCAUCCAGGAAAUGACUCGAUGGGAGAAGGAGCCAGAGUGCUCACUCCUUCUUUCUUGCUCCACUCCUCCAGCUGUAAUAGCUUCCUGUUUUCCAGCUAUUUGACCUCAGUGAGUCACUGCUCAUCUCUAGGUCACCUAGAUCACGUUUUUAUCUGGAGAAGAGGAUGCCAGAGGUGCGGCUGCUGCCCAAACCCAUGGUCCUGGUGUGUUCCUGACCACUGUCUCGAAACGUUAAGGAACACGUUACAGAUGAGGUAAAAAAACCUCAAAAAUUAAAAAAUGGUGCUAGGAAAGGUUAAAAUUCAGGGUUAAUGCUGUAGAGAAAGAGCCUCCCAAAGCAUGGAACAGGUCCCCACCAGAACACAGCAAGGGCUUCAGAAACUCCAGUAAGCUACUGUGAUGUAAUCUUAUCCCUUUGCCUCUGCCAACACAAUUUCCUGACAGGCUGCAUCAAAGCUGAGAUUUGCUUUAGCUGUGGACACAUGGGGUAGGAAAUGUUAGAAGAACACAGGCACAAGGAAUGUUCGUAUGAUGAGCUACACAGAACUACUCUGACAAGACAGCAGCAGGAGCUCACAGUGCCAGAAUAAAUUAUUAUCCCUGUGACACUAAGGAACUACAACUUACUGCCUGAUCUUGUCAUUCCUGGGUCCAAACCUGGGUCCAGAAGGGCCCCUC